rnacentral:misc_RNA from 1 species
GAAAUGCGAUAAGUAAUGUGAAUUGCAGAAUUCAGUGAAUCAUCGAAUCUUUGAACGCACAUUGCGCCCGCCAGUAUUCUGGCGGGCAUGCCUGUCCGAGCGUCAUUUCAACCAUCAAGCCCCCGGGCUUGUGUUGGGGACCUGCGGCUGCCCGCAGGCCCUGUAAACCAGUGGCGGGCUCGCUGUCACACCGAGCGUAGUAGCAAUCACCUCGCUCAGGGCGUGCUGCGGGUUCCGGCCGUUAAACAGCCUUACAAAACCCAAGGUUGACCUCGGAUCAGGUAGGAAGACCCGCUGAACUUAAGC